UACGUAGGGGCCAAGCGUUGUCCGGAUUUAUUGGGCGUAAAGAGCUCGUAGGUGGUUCGGCAAGUCAGUUGUGAAAUCUCCACGCUCAACGUGGAGGGUCCGUCGAUACUGCCGUGAGCUCGAGUCCGGUAGGGGAGUGUGGAAUUCCCGGUGUAGCGGUGAAAUGCGCAGAGAUCGGGAGGAACACCCGUAGCGAAGGCGGCACUCUGGGCCGGUACUGGACGCUGAGGAGCGAAAGCGAUGGGGAGCAACAGGG
rnacentral:rRNA from 1 species